CCUGAACUGUUCCUCUAACUGAUCUGCUCCUACCCAGAUCCAAAGACCUUCUAGGGUCUCUUACUGCUCUGUCUCUGCUAGACCUACUAGACAUUGCCCUAGGCAAUGCUGGAGGACGGGCGCUCGUGCCCUCAUCCUCAGGUGGCACUCCAGUCAAUCUUGCUGAUCAACGAGUUCCUCUCAUCCUGUUUUUCUGAAAAACAGCACACAUCACAUAAACAUUAGCAUCA
rnacentral:lncRNA from 1 species